rnacentral:rRNA from 1 species
AUUGAACGCUGGCGGCAUGCUUUACACAUGCAAGUCGAACGGUAACAGGCCGCAAGGUGCUGACGAGUGGCGAACGGGUGCGUAAUGCAUCGGAACGUGCCCAGUCGUGGGGGAUAACUACUCGAAAGAGUAGCUAAUACCGCAUACGAUCUAUGGCUGAAAGCGGGGGACCGUAAGGCCUCGCGCGAUUGGAGCGGCCGAUGUCAGAUUAGGUAGUUGGUGGGGUAAAGGCUCACCAAGCCAACGAUCUGUAGCUGGUCUGAGAGGACGACCAGCCACACUGGGACUGAGACACGGCCCAGACUCCUACGGGAGGCAGCAGUGGGGAAUUUUGGACAAUGGGCGCAAGCCUGAUCCAGCAAUGCCGCGUGCAGGAAGAAGGCCUUCGGGUUGUAAACUGCUUUUGUACGGAACGAAACGGCUCUGGUUAAUACCCGGGGCUAAUGACGGUACCGUAAGAAUAAGCACCGGCUAACUACGUG